CCUACGGGUGGCAGCAGUGAGGAAUAUUGGUCAAUGGGCGCAAGCCUGAACCAGCCAAGUCGCGUGCGGGAAGCCGGCCCUACGGGUUGUAAACCUCUUUUGCCGGGGAGCAAGCCUGAGCGCGUGUGCCCAGGCGGAGAGUACCCGGAGAAAAAGCAUGGGCUAACUCGGUGCCAGCAGCCGCGGUAAUGCGGAGGGUGCGAGCGUUAUCCGGAUGUAUUGGGUUUAAAGGGUGCGCAGGCGGGCUUUGAUGCCGGCGGUAAAAAUUCAGGGCUCAACCCUGUCGAGCCGUCGGAACUGGCAGUCUUGAGUGGGCGAGAAGUAUGCGGAAUGCGUGGUGUAGCUGUGAAAUGCAUAGAUAUCACGCAGAACGCCGAUUGCGAAGGCAGCAUACCGGCGCCCAACUGACGCUGAGGCACGAAAGCGUGGGGAUCGAACAGGAUUAGAUACCCUUGUAGUC
rnacentral:rRNA from 1 species